UAUUGAUUGAACUAACAGAAGAAGAUAAGAAGACAGUCUUAUACAACUCUAAUAUUGAUUAAUUGUUUUCUGAACGGUGGUAUUGUUUUCCUAUAUUGCCCCUCCAAAUAUAUAACUCUACGGUAAAUGGAUUAAAUAAAAGAAGGGCAAAAUUGUACCUAUGUAGCGGAAAAGAAGAGGAUAAACACAGUUACUCCCACGUUCGGUUGAACACCGGAGAAACCCAAACUGAUUGCAGUUACUAUCCUCCUCAUCUUCCUCCUACAAAACCUGAUUACAGAUUCACCUAAUUGUCAUUGGGUAAUUUUGAGAUUUUGUUUUCCAGUGAUUUAUGUAGGUCUUUGUAAAGAUAUAAGAUGGCUGUCAUUUGGAUGGUCUCUGAACCGGGUCAGUGAAGAAGGAAAACAAAGACACAGUUUCUUUUCUAUGGUAUUUCCUGUAUAACAAAUCGGAGAACUGGGGAAGAAAGAAGUAUAAAGCUGUUUGAUCAUGGGAAGGUUGUGGUCACUGGUGGAAGACACAAGACACAGGGGGACGUAUUUAAGUCAUUGAUGAUAGGGAGAAGCAUAUAUUCAGGGCUGUGAUUAUUUGCGUCUUCCAUGGCUCAGUAAUGUGUUCCGCAUUUGUAAGAGUACAAAGGCUUGAGUGUUCCUUCUCGAGUAAAAGGUAUUGAGCUGGCCAUUGCAGAUGGGAACAAGAGAAGACUUGGCUGC